AUGCAAGAGGAACAUUUUUGCGUGUGUGCAGGCUGGCUCCCUGAUAAUGUGCUCCCUGGAAGCAGUGGCAGUGUGCUGCUUAGACCCCUGGCUGCUGGAAUUACCUUAAGGUCAAGGUAUUCAUGCUUGGUGGCUUGGACUGAAGCAGUGAGGAUGGAGCCCACCAAGAUCAACAUGUCCCGCGUGGCCCUGGUCAACGGCGGCAUCGACGGCGCCAUGCUCAGGGCGCACAAACCGCGCGUCAUGUCCAAGAGCGGCCACAGCAACGUCAGGAUCGACAAAGUCGAUGGCAUCUACCUGCUCUACCUGCAGGACCUGUGGACCACGGUCAUAGACAUGAAGUGGAGGUACAAACUCACCCUGUUUGCUGCUACUUUUGUCAUGACCUGGUUCCUCUUUGGGGUGAUCUACUACGCCAUCGCCUUCCUUCACGGCGACCUGGAGAUGAACAAGUUCUCCCCGAAGCGGGAGCCGUGUGUGAAGAACGUGGAUUCCCUGACUGGGGCAUUCCUCUUCUCCCUGGAGUCCCAGACAACCAUUGGCUAUGGAUUUCGUUUCAUCACCGAGGAGUGUCCCCAUGCCAUUUUCUUGCUUGUGGCCCAGCUGGUCAUCACCACCCUGAUUGAGAUCUUCAUCACAGGUACCUUCCUGGCCAAGAUCGCCAGGCCGAAGAAAAGGGCAGAGACCAUUAAAUUCAGCCACUGUGCUGUCAUCACCAAACACAACGGGGAGCUUUGCCUGGUGAUCAGAGUGGCAAACAUGAGGAAGAGCCUCCUGAUACAGUGCCAGCUCUCUGGGAAGCUUCUUCAGACCUACGAAACCAAAGAAGGGGAGAGGAUUCUGCUGAACCAAGCCAGCGUCAAAUUCAACGUUGACUCCUCUUCAGAAAGUCCAUUUCUCAUUCUGCCUUUAACCUUCUACCACAUUUUGGAUGAAAGCAGCCCUCUGAGAGACCUCACACCUCAAAACCUCAAGGAGAAGGACUUUGAGCUCGUGGUGCUCCUGAAUGCCACGGUGGAGUCCACCAGUGCUGUCUGCCAGAGCAGGACUUCCUACGUGCCCGAGGAGAUCCACUGGGGCUACGAGUUCGUGCCUGUGGUUUCCCUCUCCCCAAAUGGAAAGUACGUGGCGGAUUUCAGUCAGUUUGAGAAGAUCAGGAGAAGCACAGAUUCUACUUUUUACAGUAUGGACUCUGAAAAGCAAAAGCUGGAGGAGAAAUACAGGCAGGAGGACCAAAGAGAGAGGGAACUGAGAACAAUGUUGUUGCAGCAGAGUAAUGUUUGAUUGGAUGGACAAAGUAUUCUGAAUAAUCCUUUUUUCUGCAAACUGAAAAAGAACAUACUUUCUGUGCUGCAUGUCUGCUGUGAAACCAGAAGUGAAGCCCUUUCCAGGAUUAUUUCCUUUUCAGUCCUAUUUCAGCAAAUAGCUUUGGUGUACAGUAAAUCGACCCCUUUGGCUGAGUUGUUAAUCAAGUAUUUUGUAAUUAGGCAGGAUUCCUUUGUUCCUGAUCGUGACUUAGCAAAAUUGGGUUUGUGUUAAACCUCUGCCUGAUGCCACCACUGAAAGCAGACACGCCACUUUCCGUUUGGAAAGUGAAACUGGACUCACUGUGCUGAUUCCCUCAAAUAUUUAUUUGACGUGGUUUUACUGUGAACAUGCAGGGGCAGCACACAGCACUGCUAGAGGAAAAUGUGCUCCUUUGAAAUAUGUACCUUUAAAAUGUAUAUUCUCCUACCAGGGAUCACCUGCCUGGGGAUUCCUGGCACUGAAAAUAAGGACUCAGAUAACUCCUAAAAUAAUUGUCACAGCUGUGCAUGGACUAUAAAACAGCUUCACCAACAGCAAAUGAGCUGGUUCUUCUCCAGAAACAUCUGAUGGUGACCUGAUCCCUUUGUUCACCAAUCCCAGAGGUGUAACUUCCACUGCCCUUUUCCAGCCCAGAAGGGCAGCAGUGGAACAGGAUGAUCAGCAGCAGUGGGAAAAUGUCAGGACACGUGGAUCUGAUAGGAACCAGCAGCAAAUCACCACCUCUCACUGGCUGUGGCAGCCUCAGCUCUGGGGAUUUCCCUUGCCUGAGAAGGAACAGGAUGUGGAGCCAAAAAGCAAAACUUUGGUGAGCAUACCAAAGCUGCCUCACCCACAAGCAAGGACUGUUGAAUCUGAAUUUCAAAUUUCAGGGUCUAAAGAAAGCAGUGGAAUCCCACUGCCCUGUGUGAACAAGAGCAUGAAUGUGUGUACAAAGUAAAUCUUCCAUUCCAGACACUAUUUAAAAGUCAGACUUUUAAAAAAAUCCAGAAAUUUCCUUUUAAAAAAUUUAUUGAGGGAUAUGACUUACAUUUCUUUUAUUCAGGAGCUAUCAGUGAGCAGAACUCUUUUAGAGUAGCUUUAUUGUUUGGACUUUACAGCCCACAAAUGAAUGAGAACUUAUUUGACCUCA